GAGUCUGUGGUGGUCCUUCUGUUCUAGAGAGUGCCCUCUUUCCUGGCAUCCCAAAAAUCUGGGAGGGUCAAGGAGAAACUGAUUUUCAAAAAUACCCUUUCCUGCAGGAGUUCAAGCCCCUACCGACCGACCGACCUGUGGUCUCUGAAGUUGGACAAUGCUCCCCAACAGGUGCAAACAGAAUACCUGUUUGACCGGGCUUUGUCUCUAGGAAACUACAUACGAGGUGAUGGAAAUGCUAUUAAGAGUGAUGUGAAUUAACACAGAGACCUACAAUUGAUUCAGGGAUCUAUGUAGAAGAGGAAGCAGGGAGAUUCUAAGAGCCAGAGAUGGUGGAUGACUUCAAAGAAACAAUGUUUUCCAGCUACAACAGUUUGCAGCAGUAUGUAGGCUGGCAGGAUUGCCCAAGCAGAAGGCUGAGGCCACAAGAGGAACAAUCUGUUGGAGCAAGGCUUUGGAGCACUUGUUCGUGAAGGGUGUAAUAAUAAGUGCCGUGGUGUGGAAACUUAAACAAAUAAGAAUCUCCUUCCUCAAAGUUUGAGAGGCCCAAGAUUCAAGAUGGACGUGUCCACAGGAUGGGCGUCCUUCACUCCUGUAUCCAUUGCUAGGCUUUGCCUUCCUGCCCACUCAUGAACUCAGAGAUACUUGGAUGGCUCUAUAUGAAAGGCAAAAGAAAAGGAAGAGAAAGCAAGUCAAGACAGAGUUGGCACACACAUGCAACCGUUCCCUGGUGGUUCCCAUUGGAGAGAACCAAUGAUGGAAGGCCUUGGAGAAGCAGAACAGGCAGCUAUGUCCCUUAUGAAGAUGAGGAAGCCAGGGAGAAAUACAGAUAACACCUUAAAGGACAUGCUGAAUCUAGCACAAUGGAUUGGAAGGGUGAACCUCUACCAUCACUUACUGGAGAACGCAUUUGACCAAUGAGAUACUGAGCUAAUCACAAGCACUAGACAUUCCUGGAGAAGAAGGAGGGGAAGCUGCUUAGAAAAACCUGCUCAACCUGCUAUUAUGGAGUCCUUGAAUUAUUGGAGGAUACUUCCACAGUUCCCCAGGUCCAGUGAAGUAGCAGGCAUGCAGCAUUGGCCACUCCACUGUCGUGUUUGUCAGAAUGAUGACACCUCUCAAACCAACAAGAAAAUACAAACUUGCUUCAAUAGCAUCUUGCCUUUGUACAUUAGUAUCUUUGGACAAAAGCAAAGACAAUUAUUCAGUGAGCUGUAAAAAUGAAUAAAUAAAUACUUUG
ensembl:processed_transcript 4930412L05Rik RIKEN cDNA 4930412L05 gene